AGGGAAGGCAUCGAGCUUGAGGAAGAGGCCCCAUUCAUCUCCGUACCCCAGGCCCUGGUACACAGCAGGCAGGUAAUAAACCUGCCAGUAAUUUCAGCAAAUGAAACGUGGAACACGUCAAGGCCAGAGGAUGGAAAAGGCUCCAGUUUUGAUAAAAGGAGGCCUGCUUGGCUUGGAAUCCUCUCUCCUGCUGGUUGGGAGAUGCAAAGAUGUUUCCAGAGAGGGGCUGAUGAAUUGAGGGGAAAGAAAUGAGCCCAGUAUGAGUCCCCUUUCAGGGCUGAGCGUGUAUAAAACCAAACAACUUGGAACCGCUCCAAGAGAGGGGAUUAAAGCAACAUGUUAUUCUGA
rnacentral:lncRNA from 10 species